rnacentral:rRNA from 1 species
CCUACGGGAGGCAGCAGUGAGGAAUAUUGGUCAAUGGACGCGAGUCUGAACCAGCCAUGUAGCGUGAAGGAUGACUGCUCUAUGGGUUGUAAACUUCUUUUAUAUGGGAAUAAAAUGUUACACGUGUGGGAUUUUGUAUGUACCAUAUGAAUAAGGCUCGGCUAACUCCGUGCCAGCAGCCGCGGUAAUACGGAGGAUCCGAGCGUUAUCCGGAUUUAUUGGGUUUAAAGGGAGCGUAGGUGGAUUGUUAAGUCAGUUGUGAAAGUUUGCGGCUCAACCGUAAAAUUGCAGUUGAUACUGGCAGUCUUGAGGACAGUAGAGGUGGGCGGAAUUCGUGGUGUAGCGGUGAAAUGCUUAGAGAUCACAAAGAACUCCGAUUGCGAAGGCAGUUCACUGGACUGCAACUGACACUGAGGCUCGAAAGUGUGGGUAUCAAACAGGAUUAGAUACCCCUGUAGUC